AUUGAACGCUGGCGGCAUGCCUUACACAUGCAAGUCGAACGGCAGCACGGGUGCUUGCACCUGGUGGCGAGUGGCGAACGGGUGAGUAAUACAUCGGAACAUGUCCUGUAGUGGGGGAUAGCCCGGCGAAAGCCGGAUUAAUACCGCAUACGAUCUACGGAUGAAAGCGGGGGACCUUCGGGCCUCGCGCUAUAGGGUUGGCCGAUGGCUGAUUAGCUAGUUGGUGGGGUAAAGGCCUACCAAGGCGACGAUCAGUAGCUGGUCUGAGAGGACGACCAGCCACACUGGGACUGAGACACGGCCCAGACUCCUACGGGAGGCAGCAGUGGGGAAUUUUGGACAAUGGGCGAAAGCCUGAUCCAGCAAUGCCGCGUGUGUGAAGAAGGCCUUCGGGUUGUAAAGCAUUUUUGUCCGGAAAGAAAUCCUUGGCCCUAAUACGGUCGGGGGAUGACGGUACCGGAAGAAUAAGCACCGGCUAACUACGUG
rnacentral:rRNA from 1 species